rnacentral:sRNA from 1 species
GGAAGGAUCAUUAAUGAGUUGUAAUGGGAGUUGAUGCUGGCAGCUUGGCUGGAUGUGCUCGCUCCUAACAAUCUUCAUCUAAACACCUGUGCACAUUUAGAGAGGGGUCUCCGAGUUGUGCUUGGGGUGCCUUCCUCUGAUUACAGACUUUAUCUAAAUAUUGAACGUGAAUUGUGCCGUGAGGCCUUAAUAUUAAUACAACUUUUAACAACGGAUCUCUUGGCUCUCGCAUCGAUGAAGAACGCAGCGAAAUGCGAUAAGUAAUGUGAAUUGCAGAAUUCAGUGAAUCAUCGAAUUUUUGAACGCACCUUGCGCUCCCUGGUAUUCCGGGGAGCACGCCUGUUCGAGUGUCGUGAAAUUGUCAAACUGGGAUGCUUUUUGUGUCUCGGCUUGGUAUUGGGCUUUGCAGUUCCUUUGAUUGGGAUGGCUGGCCUGAAAAGCAUUAGCUGGCUUUUGAUGUGGGAUUGGUUCUACUCAGCGUGAUAAUGAUUAUGACCGCCGAGGACAUCUUUCGAGAUGGCCAAUUGUCAUUCAGGCUGCUUCUAAUUUUGGUUGAGGAGAUACUGAUCACAUCUGCUCGACUUUUGAACUUUUGACCUCGAAUCAGGUGGGACUACCCGCUGAACUUAAGCAUAUCAAUAAGCGGAGGAA